GAUGAAGAACGCAGCGAAAUGCGAUACGUAAUGUGAAUUGCAGAAUUCAGUGAAUCAUCGAAUCUUUGAACGCAUAUUGCGCUCUCUGGUAUUCCGGAGAGCAUGCUUGUUUGAGUAUCAGUAAACACCUCAACUCCCCUUUCUUUUUUGAAAUGGGAGCUGGACUUGAGUGAUCCCAACGCUUUUCUCACCGAAAAGUGGCGGGUUACUUGAAAUGCAGGUGCAGCUGGACUUUUCUCUGAGCUAAAAGCAUAUCUAUUUAGUCUGCCUAAAAACAGAUUAUUACCUUUGCUGCAGCUAACAUAAAGGAGAUUAGUUCUUGUGCUGACUGAUGCAGGAUUCACAGAGACAGCUUCGGCUGGCCUUUGUAAACUCGAUCUCAAAUCAAGUAAGACUACCCGCUGAACUUAAGCAUAUCAAUAAGCGGAGGA
rnacentral:misc_RNA from 1 species